AACGAACGCUGGCGGCAUGCCUAACACAUGCAAGUCGAACGAGACCUUCGGGUCUAGUGGCGCACGGGUGCGUAACGCGUGGGAACCUGCCCUUAGGUUCGGAAUAACUCCCCGAAAGGGGUGCUAAUACCGGAUAAUGUCUUCGGACCAAAGAUUUAUCGCCUUUGGAUGGGCCCGCGUUGGAUUAGCUAGUUGGUAGGGUAAAAGCCUACCAAGGCGACGAUCCAUAGCUGGUCUGAGAGGAUGAUCAGCCACACUGGGACUGAGACACGGCCCAGACGCCGGGGGGGGGCAGCAGGGGGGAAUACGGAAGUAUGGGCAAAUGCCGGAUCCACGAAGGUCGUGUGGGUAAUGUAUGCUUUAUGUUUUUAACCCUCUGUUACCCGGGAUGAUAAUGACAGUACCGGGAACAGACGCUCCGGCUACCUCCGCGCCAGCGCCCGCGGUAAUAAUCGGAAGAGCACCCGUCUGAAC
rnacentral:rRNA from 1 species